AUUAGGCGAUUUUCCGGUUUUUAGGAUAUCUGGAGACUGGAUUGAAAAUAAAACAGCACGUGGAAAUAUUACCGAUUUCUUUGUAAAACUAAAUGUGUCAACAGCUAUUUUAACACCGAUUAUGGAAGGAAGUGCGUCGGAACAAGUAAUUGUGGAAUAUGAUACUGGAUACUUCAUAAAUGGAAAAUAUCCACCGGAGAUUCAUACAACAGCACGGUAACAAAAAAUAAACUUGGAAUGACCCCAACCAAUUUUUUCACAGAACCAGCUUGGCUUAAUUCAGAAGUGGAUCAAAAUGGA
rnacentral:lncRNA from 1 species